UACGGGGGGAGCAAGCGUUGUUCGGAUUUACUGGGCGUAAAGGGCGCGUAGGCGGUCGUGACAAGUCACUUGUGAAAUCUCCGGGCUUAACUCGGAACGGUCAAGUGAUACUGUCGGACUAGAGUACAGAAGGGGCAACUGGAAUUCCCAGUGUAGAGGUGAAAUUCGUAGAUAUUGGGAAGAACACCAGUGGCGAAGGCGGCUAACUGGUCCGGUACUGACGCUGAGGUGCGAAAGCGUGGGGAGCAAACAGG
rnacentral:rRNA from 1 species